rnacentral:rRNA from 1 species
GACGAACGCUGGCGGCGUGCUUAACACAUGCAAGUUGGGCGAGGAUGGUUUGACGAGACUUAGGUUGAAUUGGAUCAUUCGAGCAGCGGACGGGUGAGUAAAGCACAAGGACGUGUCCGAAAGAGGGGGACACCUGCGGGAAACCGGAGCUAAUACCCCAUAAGCCGUAAGGUGAAAGGCAGAGAUGCGCUUUAGGAGCGACUUGUGUCCUAUCAGGCAGUUGGUGAGGUGAAAGCUCACCAAACCGAAGACGGGUAGCCGGACUGAGAGGUCGACCGGCCACAUUGGAACUGAGAGACGGUCCAGACUCCUACGGGAGGCAGCAGUGGGGAAUAUUGGGCAAUGGGCGCAAGCCUGACCCAGCGACGCCGCGUGAGGGAAGACAGCCUUCGGGUUGUAAACCUCUGUUGCAGGGGAAGAAGGAAGUGACGGUACCCUGCGAGGAAGCUCCGGCUAACUACGUG